UACGGGGGGAGCAAGCGUUGUUCGGAUUUACUGCGCGUAAAGGGCGCGUAGGCGGCCACCGCAAGUCGACUGUGAAAUCUCCGGGCUUAACCCGGAAAGGUCAGCCGAUACUGCGGGGCUAGAGUGCAGAAGGGGCAACUGGAAUUCUCGGUGUAGCGGUGAAAUGCGUAGAUAUCGAGAGGAACACCUGCGGCGAAGGCGGGUUGCUGGGCUGACACUGACGCUGAGGCGCGAAAGCUAGGGGAGCGAACGGG
rnacentral:rRNA from 1 species